UACAGAGGGUGCUAGCGUUGUUCGGAAUCAUUGGGCGUAAAGGGCGUGUAGGCGGUUUGUUAAGUCAUGUGUGAAAUUCCUCGGCUCAACCGGGGGAACGACGCAUGAAACUGGCAAGCUAGAGUACCAAAGAGGGGGGUGGAAUUCCCGGUGUAGCGGUGAAAUGCGUAGAGAUCGGGAGGAACACCCGUGGCGAAGGCGGCCAUCUGGACCAGCACUGACGCUGAGGCACGAAAGCGUGGGGAGCAAACAGG
rnacentral:rRNA from 1 species